GACGAACGCUGGCGGCGUGCCUAAUACAUGCAAGUAGAACGCACAGUUUAUACCGUAGCUUGCUACACCAUAGACUGUGAGUUGCGAACGGGUGAGUAACGCGUAGGUAACCUGCCUGGUAGCGGGGGAUAACUAUUGGAAACGAUAGCUAAUACCGCAUAAUAUUAAUUAUUGCAUGAUAAUUAAUUGAAAGGUGCAAUUGCACCACUACCAGAUGGACCUGCGUUGUAUUAGCUAGUAGGUGAGGUAACGGCUCACCUAGGCGACGAUACAUAGCCGACCUGAGAGGGUGAUCGGCCCCACUGGGACUGGGACACGGCCCAGACUCCUACGGGAGGCAGCAGUAGGGAAUCUUCGGCAAUGGACGAAAGUCUGACCGAGCAACGCCGCGUGAGUGAAGAAGGUUUUCGGAUCGUAAAGCUCUGUUGUAAGAGAAGAACGGGUGUGAGAGUGGAAAGUUCACACUGUGACGGUAUCUUACCAGAAAGGGACGGCUAACUACGUGC
rnacentral:rRNA from 1 species